rnacentral:rRNA from 1 species
UAUUGGUCAAUGGACGCAAGUCUGAACCAGCCAUGCCGCGUGAAGGAUGAAGGUCCUCUGGAUUGUAAACUUCUUUUAUCUGGGACGAAAACGGGGUUUUUAUCUCAAUUGACGGUACCAGAGGACUAAGCACCGGCUAACUCCGUGCCAGCAGCCGCGGUAAUACGGAGAGUGCGAGCGUUAUCCGGAUAUACUGGGUUUAAAGGGUGCGUAGGUGGGCUGAUUAGUCAGUCGUGAAAUCUCCGCGCUUAACUUGGAAUCUGCCGUUGAUACU